rnacentral:rRNA from 1 species
GAUGAACGCUGGCGGCGUGCCUAAUACAUGCAAGUCGAGCGAACAGACGAGGAGCUUGCUCCUCUGACGUUAGCGGCGGACGGGUGAGUAACACGUGGAUAACCUACCUAUAAGACUGGGAUAACUUCGGGAAACCGGAGCUAAUACCGGAUAAUAUAUUGAACCGCAUGGUUCAAUAGUGAAAGACGGUUUUGCUGUCACUUAUAGAUGGAUCCGCGCCGCAUUAGCUAGUUGGUAAGGUAACGGCUUACCAAGGCGACGAUGCGUAGCCGACCUGAGAGGGUGAUCGGCCACACUGGAACUGAGACACGGUCCAGACUCCUACGGGAGGCAGCAGUAGGGAAUCUUCCGCAAUGGGCGAAAGCCUGACGGAGCCAUGCCGCGUGAGUGAUGAAGGUCUUCGGAUCGUAAACCUCUGUUAUUAGGGAAGAACAAAUGUGUAAGUAACUAUGCACGUCUUGACGGUACCUAAUCAGAAAGCCCCGGCUAACUACGUG